UCAGGCGAGGCCGCGCCUCCCGGGUCCCACCCAGGCUCGCGUCCCGGAGGGGAGGCCGGCACCGCGCACCCUCCGCCCGCGGCUGCCCGCCCGCCGCCCCGCCGCCCGGCCCCGCCGGGGUCCUCGCCGCCCCUCAGGUCCCAGUCCCCGGUCCCCAUUGUCUCCUCCGGGGGCCUUGGCCGGGGUCCCGCCUCCGGGCCAGCCCUGUGGGUUCCUGUGAGCCUCAGCCAGGGAGCGGCAGUUCGGUGACGAAGUUAAUGGGGUGCGGCGGGAGACACCCCGCUUCAGGGGUCCCCACCCCCCUCCCCUGCCCUGCCCCAGGCUGGUCCCCCGCGCGGCCUGGGCGAUGCCUGAGCGGCUGCAUGGAGGGGUCUGCGGGCUGGAGAAGCACCAUCUUGCUGACUCCCCUUGGGGAGCCCCUUUCGGCCUGAGGGGGGCCGGGAACCGGGGACCCUCCCGCCACCUGGAGACAAAGGGAGGUGCUUGGGGUGUGGGUCGCUUUUGCAGACAAAACGCCCCUCCGUUUGUCAAUGAGAGCGGAUGGGGACGCUCCUCCCCGGACUCCCCGCCGCCCGCCGCCCGCCGCCCGCCAGCGCGGUCCCCGGGCCGGAGCGGGCCCGGCGCCCGGGUGCCCGGAGGGACUGAGUGUGCGGAGGGGCCCCCGGAACGGCUGACAGAGGGGAAGGGGGACACAGAGAGGAGGAUGCGGGCGAAACCCAGGCGGGAGGCAGAGGGACAGGAUUGGGGAGUCGGUGCAGGAACAGAGUGGCAGGGCCGGGAUGCAGCGGGUGGUGAGAUUCCGCAAGAGAAGGGCAUCGAGGAAGCUGGGCCGCUCCCCAGCGGGAGUGGGGAAGGGCGCCCCCGGCUCCCCGGUGUCCAGGACCAAACCCCGGGCCUGGGCUGAGCAGAAGCCGAGGCGCUGGGCCCGGGCAGAGACUCCGGGCCAGGCCCGCAGGUGGCCCCGCCGGUCAGCUCAGGCCGCGGCAGAAGGCGGGCGUGCACCGGAGCACAGGCUUCCGCGAUAAGCAAUGCCAGGCCAUCGAUAAGCAACGCCCGGCCAUCGAUAAGCAAUGCCCGGCCAUCGAUAAGCAAUGCCCGCCCGGCCAGCGGAGAAAUUGGCGGCUUGGCGGAGGGAUAGGUGAGUGUGGGCGGAGCCAGUCUGGAGAGGUUGCAAAGACAGAACACCAGGCCAGGUGUUCUCACUGUGCUCUCCUUGCGGGGUAGCUUCUGACCCUUCUGUCAAGAGAGUAAAUGGAAAAAACAAAACCAAAACCCCUGACUCCAUUCACGACUGUUCGUCUGAGGAUCGUCCAACAACCCUCCUGCUUCAGACACCUCCUCCUCUGCCCGGGACACGCCUCUUUCCAGCCGGAGCAGUGGAGGCCGCACGUGGGAUGGGAGGAGGACUCCAGCAAGGUCAGAAAGGUCCCUGUUGAAGGGCGGCUACCUCUGAAAGCACGAGCUGAUUGGGGAGAGUUUCCCCGCAGAAUCAGUAAUAAUUCUUGUUGUCACAGGCAGAGGCCUCUGGCUGGUAGGUACUGUUACCUGUGCCUGGCCGUGGUCUCACUGGCUGCCUGCUCCCUCCAGUCCACACUGAGAACCUCUGGGAACCUCUGGGGCUUCUGCUUUCUCUUUCCAGACAUAAGAGAAGGGACACUCAGGGUCACCUGGUGCUGAGGAAUGCAUCUGAGCAGGAUUUUCUGGAGCUGGAAUGAGCGGGACAGUAGGAAGAGGGUGACAGGCACCCAGGUUUCCAGCAGAUCUUCGAGACUGUGGCGGAAUCCUCUCCACCCUCUGUGUUCUCACUGGCACUCCCUCCCCCCAUGUGUUCUGAGGUUUGUUGACAGAACUGGGUGGCUGUGGCGCAUGGACAGUGAUAACCAGAGGCUCCUGGAACACAGGAUUGGAUCAGAUAGAGUUAAAGGUGAAUGCCAGACCCCACGGAGAAAGAAAGGGUGGCCUGAAGCUGAAUCCGUUUCAUUGAUAUUGCUAUAGAAAGAACAUCAGAAUCCAGGAGAAGGGUUGCAUUUCUAUUUAAAAUGUUUGGAAAUCGGAAAGAGCUAUUGGCUCUGAUGUCUCUGGGCACAGAGGCACCGCUGGGCCACCAGAGUCACGGGGUCCUUGGGAGGGGCUCAUUGUCGUGGGAGAUAGGUCACCAGGCUUCCUUGUUGGCUGUGCCUGGAGACCCUGUCUGCCUGUGCCCUGUAACCAUCUCUGUCCCACAUCCCCUCCCCGGGGAAGGAUGCUCCUGCAGGGGUCAGGGGUCACACAUAUUCCUCCCACCCAGGAGAGGUUUCUCCCCACGACAGGCACUGUACAUCUUGAGUUUUGUUGCUGUCAGUCUUCCUGCAUCUCUGUUGUGAGGGGCAAAUGAGAUCCUCUCGGGGAGCCUGCAGAGUAAAAAGCAAACUUUCUUUCAAUCACUAGAGAGAAGUUGGAGGAAGAAAAAGAAAAAGAAAAAAAUGAUAAUCAACUCUAGUAACAGAGCCCUCUUAAUGUCUACAGAGACUGGAGUUUCCAGAAACUGAGGUGGUUACAUUGUUUUUACGUAAGUUCUAUUUUGUAGUUUCCUCAUUCUGGGGAAAUAUAAACUUAAGUUUUCAGGGCACAUUUGUUAGGUUUGGGGAGUAAACUAUUUGGGCCUCUAGAACUAAUUAACAUUUUAAAGUGCAUUUAUUAUCCUCUUUGCCUUGAGUUCUAAGAAGAAGGAGAGAGUAGGAAGGGAAGCAGAGGACAGUUUCAAAUAAAACCAGGGCGGGGCUGAAUGGUAGAGCUCCACGCUGUGAUUUACUGGUGUCAGACCACAGCGAGAAAGGUGUCUGGCACAAAGAGCUUCUAAGUGUCUGUUGAAUAAACGAGCCAGGGAACAAAUGAAUAAGCUGACAAAUGAAUGGCAUCUGAAAUAAAAUAAAUGAAUAGGUCUAUUUAGAUUAGUCACACUAUUUAUUGUUUCCUAACUGGCUACUUAUUGCUAGAGUGACACUUUAUAAUUACCGAUUGUCCAAGUACCAACAUUUACAUUGUUAAUGAAUUUGGAAUAAAUUACAGUCAUUCAGCAAUUAUUCAUUGAGUGCUGGCUUUGCUAGCAUAAACCUCAACGCUAUUUUUAAAAUUUACAUAUAAUAAGCAAGCCAAGCCUUAAAGAUAUUGGACAAUUGGGCACCAAUUAUAACCAAUUAUAAAAUUGGUUGCUAAUUACAGAAUUCAGUGUCGGUGUUGGAGUCUUAGCCUCCAGCAAAUUGUGAUUAAAGGAGACACUACAAUUGAUUUCAAUCUGUUAAAGUAUCUUUUUUCUUUCUGGAAAGGUUAGAGUUUGGGGUUUAUGCAAAUGAAAAGAGAUUUUCCAGCUGAAGAGAACAGUUUGAGUGAAAACAGAGAUGGGAAUUCCCAAGGCUGGAAAGAUGGUGCUUUGAAUACCAUGAUAACAGACAGGGGCUAGAAGCAGACCAUUCAGCUAUUACUGGAAACUCCAACAACCAGAACUCAGUAGAGUCUGGAAUCUGGCUGCCACAGGCAUUGCCACACACGCAUGCAAUUUGUUAAUCACGAAUAUACAUAGAAUUAUGUCUUUUUAUAUAAGAGGUAAAUAGUACACCAGCAACGACAUCGUUUUCUUUUGUGCCACUGAUUUGCAAAUAUCAAAAGGGAAAAUAAAAUAGAAAACCGACUAUAGAGUAUUGAGAACAGCUAAAGAUAAACACCAUUAUAAAAACAACCACUUGGGGGCGCGGGACUAAGUAGCUUCACAUUCCUUUAUCAUGGAGGCGAGGGUGCAGCACGCCGGCUCGUUGGUCUAGGGGUAUGAUUCUCGCUUAGGGUGCGAGAGGUCCCGGGUUCAAAUCCCGGACGAGCCCGCCUUUUUUCUUUCC